GCUAAUGAGAGACUAAGGGGCUAUGAUUGAGCCCUUCCAAGGCUCGGGCCCGGGUUCGAUUCCCGGCAGACGCACCA
rnacentral:tRNA from 1 species